AUAAGUUCUGAUGUGUUGUACUGGCAUUAUCAUUUAAUUGUAGAAACUAAUUUCUUUAUUAAUUUCAUCUGUGACCUCUUGGUUGUUCAGGAGGGUGUUAUUUAAUUUCCAUGGGUUUAUGAAAUUCUUGUGGUUUCUUUUGCCAUGGAUUUCCACUUUCAUUGCACUAUGGUCUGUUUUGCCUUUUCCACAGAACUGAGUAUAAGUUAUGUUCCCAUUAUGCUGACAAGGGGACAGAGGCUCAGGGACAUUAAUGACUUGCAGAAUGCCGAAUAAGUGAUUGGAUUGGAGCAUAGUGUUUGCCUUUGACAGUCUCUAUUGCAUGCCAGCUCUCCUGAUCAUAGCUAUGGACCUCUGACAUGGAGAAAAUAGACAAAGGAACAAAAACUCCUCUGCGUUUCUGGGGAAAUCAAGAUUCAGAGAAUUUGUAUCAUUCACUAACGAAGCACAGAGCUGCUGGGUGUAUUACCUGCAUUGGAAGCCAGAUGUAAUACACGACUAUAAUCUCCAGCUACUUGGGAGGCUAAGGCAGGAGGGUCAAGAAUUUGAGGACAACCUAGUUGACUUGGCAAGACCCUAUGUGAAAAAUAAAAUCACCUACAUUAAAGAAUGGUCCGGCCACUUAAGAAAACUAAGUAAAGGAAGAAGAGGAGGGGAAAAAACAAUUUCACGACAGCAGCACAAUUAG
rnacentral:lncRNA from 1 species